UAAUAUCUCCCACAGAGAGGAAAAAAAGAGAAGAAAAUUUAGAAAUGCGCGCGCAAAACGGCAAAUUAAGAAUAAAAAUAUAAUAAUUUAAAGAGUUGUAAUUUUAUACUAAAAAUUCUCUGCUUAUUGCUGAGAACAUUCUCCGACUCCGAGGUCCCAAUAGGGCUGUGAUUAUUCACUUCAGUCCUUUUCUAUCAUUCUCAACCUUUUCAGCAUCUGGAAUAAAAAAGCCAUUGAAACUGUCUAGUGAUUGGGAACUGUCAAUGGAAUGAGGCCAGGAUUUUGUCAUUAGCUGUAUCAGUAUUGCAUGAGUAUCCCCGGAAAGUUUGACUCUGAAUUUUGGAGUUUCAGAUCUUAUCAGUAAACUGAACGUGCGAGCCCAACUCUGUACUAUUGCAGGGAUUUCUUGGUUGUUCUAUGUUGAAUUUUGGAGUUCCGAUCGGCUUACUUGUAAACUAGAGAGGGAUCUUUUGGGUGUAAGAUGCUGAACCUUGGAGCUUUACAUCUGCUUUUUUGUAAACUGAACAGGCAAGCCCAACUCUGCACUCAAGUAGUCAUGAUGGAUUGAUCUGUAUGUUAUAGAUCUAGAUUUACCUUAUGCAGCUUCAAGUGAUUCAUGUCAUUUGGUUAUCCAUUAACAUGAAUUAAAAGAAUCUUUACCUGCAAAUAUUUUUGUGUGAAGACUUGAGAUCAGCUUGCCAAAAUGGGAACAAUAAAGAGCUCUUGAAGUCAAGCAUUAGGUAAGGUUUGGCAUAAGCAUUGACAAAGCAAAGUUAGGUCUUGACUGUACAAAUGGUCCUACAUCUUGAUAAUUAAUAAACUAAAAAAUUUAUUGAUUCCCCUGUCACAUUAAACUGUCAGCAUGUGAACCAGUGUGAAUUCUAUUUUUUGAAUCUUAAUUACAUAAAUGGCUGAUGAACUUGCUGGAAUUUUCAGAACAUCAAUCUGAAUGCUUUUUUUUAACAAAAUACUAAGAAUCUUGCAACCCCUGAAUCAUACAACUAGAUCAAAUACCCAGUUAUUUAUGUUCCUUAUAGACAAUGUUGCAAUAAGAUUAACACUAAGUCAUCCAAGAUGAGAGUGUGUGCUAGUUGAAAUUUUUUGUUUCCAUUGUUAACAAGGUGGAGGAAUAAAAUUAUAGCAUUGGUAUGAUAAUUUUGAGACUGCAGACUUUGAUGUGUAUUUUCUUGUAAGAUCUCUGGCAAAUCACACUAGGUUAUCCAUCAGUGUCCUGCUUAAUUUUAAUAUAUCAAUUAGAAAAAAGAGUGAAGGAGCAGUUGUACAAGUAAAAUGGCCUGCUUAAUUUUAAUAUAUCAAUUAGAAAAUAGAGUGAAGGAGCAGAUAUACAAGUAAAAUGAAGUAAAAGAGUUACUUUAGCUGGGGGCAUUCCGAGAAUCGAACUCGGGACCUCUCGCACCCAAAGCGAGAAUCAUACCACUAGACCAAAUGCCCUGCUGUUUGUUGGUCCCUCAAUCUAAAUAAUAGCUGGAAGUUUCAUGUCACUUGUAAGCUUGUGCCAUUUUUUGAAAUGAUUUUCUUGGAGGGAUGAGCAUUCUCCAGUGUCUGAGGGAUCCUUCCUGGGGUCAAUCGGUGUUAUGAUCUUUUACAAAUUUGUUUUUAGUACUAUAAAGAUCUUCAUUCUCACAUAAGAGAUCUAAAAAGGUCAUUUUCUUUCAUCCAAAUUUUAAGUGUUCAUAGUAGACCAUAUCCUCCCCCUUCCUCCCUCCAAUUGUUUUAGUACUAUAAAGAUCUUCAUUCUUACAUAAGAGAUCUGAAAAGGUCAUUUUCUUUCAUCCAAAUUUUAAGUGUUCAUAGUAGAACAUAUCCUCCCCCUUCCUCCCUCCCAUUGUUAAAAUAAUAUAUGUAGAGAGGGGCAUACUAUGCUAUUAAAGGUGCUGUAAUUGUAGACAUUAUUAAAGUUGGUUGUAUCUGAACAAACUCAACUAUAGAGGAGGAAGUAUUCUCCUACGGCGAAUGUAGAGUCAGUUACAGAUGAAGGAGUAUUUGGAGAGUCAAAUCAACUUAAGAGUAAAUAAAAACUUAAGCAAAAUAAAGGGGCAUUCCGGGAAUCGAACUCGGGACCUCUCGCACCCGAAGCGAGAAUCAUACCACUAGACCAAAUGCCCUGUUUUGUUGGUCCCCCAGUCUAAAUGAUAGCUGGAAGUUUCAUCUCCAGCUGUUUUGAGCUUAUACCAUCUUAUGAAAUAAUUUUCUAGGAGGAUGAAAUUCUCCUGUGCCUAAGGUCUCCUCCAAUGUUAAAAUAGUGUAUACAAAGACACAUAACAUCACAAUUAAAGGUGUUUUAGUUGUAGAAAAUAUCUUAACAUACUCAACUGUAGAAUCAGCUAGUGAUGAAGGAGUUGGUGAGUUAAAUUAACUUAGAGUAAAUUAAAACUUUAGCAAAACCAAGGGGCAUUCCGAGAAUCGAACUCGGGACCUCUCGCACCCAAAGCGAGAAUCAUACCACUAGACCAAAUGCCCAUUGUUGACAUUGUCUUAUUUGAAUUUUAGUCAAAUGUAUUUUAGCUCUGUAAGCUAUUUGAUCACAAUUGUCAUUGCUUACUGUAAUAUAGAAUUCAAAUAAUCCUUAUUUUACACCAUAUGAUCGUCAUUUGCUUACUUAAAUUUUCUUGAGUACUUUGCUUCUUAGGAUGUGAGGGGUAUAUAGAAGGUUGCUUAAAAUAAUAUGCCUCUGCAAUUCCUCUGAUUACUCCUGUUGAUGCCUAAAGAUGUUAUCAGCUUUGGUUGCUUCUAUCACUUGUAUAUUCACAAUCCUAUGCAAUCAUACUCAACCCUUUGGUCACACCAAAACCUGUGAGAUCUGUGUAGUGAUUAAAACAGUCAUUGGACAUGAGGCCAGGUCUCCAGUGUUAGCUGAAUUAAAAUUUCAUGCUUGAGCUUCAUCGUUCAAGUUACAGCUAAAGAAAAUAAAAUAUCCCCCAAGGAGUAUCUAGUUGAUAGUUAACCAUGGGUUUAAAGUUACCAGUUUCAAAAAGAAUAGUUAACCAUGGGUCUUUUUCUGGGUUCUCUUACUUCCAGUUCUCUUUUGAAUACCUUCUUUAUUAAGCUAUAUCAGUAUUACUUGUUUCGUGGAAUGGUGCAGCUCAUGUUAUGCGAUUUUGGAUGCAAAUAAUGAAGUUCAUGCUUCUUUGUUUCACUAAAGUGUAAUGAAAAUGGUUCAUGAACUAUGGAUAUCCGUUUGACUUGAAUUUAGAGAACUUUAUUUUUGUGGAAGAUCUGUGUUGUUGAUUAAUGAUCUCAGUUUUAUUGUUAACUUCCUUGACUCGUAAAUGAUCUUGUUAUAGAUCAAACAUAACGAUUCUUCGAUGUUACGACAAAUCCAUGUACCAAAUUGACUUAUAAGUUUUGCCUGCUUUAUCAAAUUGAAAAUGGAUGGCAAAAAAGCAUAUCUGAAAUGAUGGCUUGUGAUAUUUGAGAUACUCCAACUGAUCUGUCCAACAAUUAUUUAGGGAUCUUUUGGAAGUUAGACAUUGAAUGUUGGAGUUUCAGAUCUGUAAACUGAACAGGCCAGCCCCCAACUCUGCACUAUUGCAAGUAUUCAUGAUGUAUUAAGUUUUAGCUUAUAGAUCUAGAUUUACCUUAUUCAGCUUCAAGUGCUCAUGCCAUUUGGUUGUUCAUUAACAUGAAAAAAUAUAAUCUUUAUAUGCGAUUUUUGUUUUAUGAAGAAAGUCGAUUGAGUUUUGUAGUUGACUGGAGAUCAACUUACAAAAAUGGAAAGAAUGAAGAGCUCUUGAAGUCGAGCAUUAGGUAACAUUUGGUACAGAUUAUUGAUUCCCUUGUGGCAUUAAAUUGUCAGCAUGUGACCAAGUGUGAAUUCUUUUCUUUUGAAUCCUAGUUACAUAAAUGACCCUGCUUAAUUUGCAUGUACUAUCACUUAGAAAAUAGAGUGAAGGAGCAGAGUUGCAAGUAAAAUGAAUUAAAAAGUUGUAUUAGAUGGGGGCAUUCCGAGAAUCGAACUCGGGACCUCUCGCACCCAAAGCGAGAAUCAUACCACUAGACCAAAUGCCCAGCUCUUGUUGGUCCCUCAGUGGUAAUAAUAGUUUGAAGUUGAUAUUGGUUGUCUGGAGCUUGUACCAUUUUAUGCAAUAAUUUUCUGGGUGAAAUAAGCAUUCUCCAUUGUUUGAGCCUUUGAAAAGUUAAAUCAUCUUAGAGUAAAUAAAAACUUAUAUAAAAUUAAGGGGCAUUCCGAGAAUCGAACUCGGGACCUCUCGCACCCAAAGCGAGAAUCAUACCACUAGACCAAAUGCCCAUCGAUGACAUUGUCUUAUUUGAAUUUUAGUCAAAUGUAUUUUAGCUUUUCAACUAUUUGAUCACACAACUGUCAUUGCUUACUGUAAUAUAGAAUUCAAAUAAUCCGUAUUUUACACCAUAUGAUCUUCAUUUGCUUGCUUAAAUGUUCUUGAGUACUUAAUUAUCAAAAAAAAUGUUCUUUGAGUACAUGUUAUUUGGAUGUGAGGUGUAUAUAGAAGUUUGCUUAAAAUAAUAUGCCUCUGCAGUUCCUCAGAUUACUUCUCUCAAUGCCUAUAGAUGCUAUCAGCUUUGGUUGUUACUAUCACUUCUAUAUUUACAAUCCUAUGCAAGCAUACUCAACCCUUUGGUCGUCUGGAAUGCAAAAGACGUGAGAUCUGUGUAGUGAUUAAGAACUGUCAUUCGACAUGAGGCCAGGUCUCCGGUGUUAGCUGAAUUAACAUUUCAUGGUUGAGCUUCAUCUUUCUAGUUAUAGCUGAAGCAAAGAAAAUCUCCAACUAAGGAUUAUCGCAUUGAUAGUUAACCAUGUGCUUUUUUCUGGGUUCUCUUACUUCCUGUUCUCUUUUGGAUACCUUCUUUGUUAAGCUAUAUCACUAUCACUUGUUUCAUGGAAUGGUGCAGCUCAUGUUAUGCGAUUUUGGGUGCAAAGCAACAUGGUACAAUGAAGUUCAUGCUUCUUUGUUUCACUCAAGUGAAAUGAAAAUGGCUCAUGAACUGUGGAUAUCCGUUUCAUUCCUUAUUUUGACUUGAAAUUAAGAAAGCUUCCUUGAUUAAUGAUCUCAGUUGUUAUUGUUCACUUCCUUGACCUGUAAAUGACCUUGUAUCUAUAAUGAUUCUUUGAUGUUACGACAAUUCCAUGUACCAACUUCAUUAAGCAUAUUUGAAAUGAUGGCUUGUGAUAUUUGAGAUA